GCUCCCGUGGCCCAGUCGGUUAGUGCGUCGUACUUAUAAGCAGUACUGAAGUAUAUGCGAAGGUCGAGGGUUCGAUCCCCUCCGCGAGCA
rnacentral:tRNA from 1 species